CUGGCAGCGAAAAGCAACAAAUCGCUGGUUGGUGCAUGUUGCGCUGAUAUCCUGGUGGUAAAACGCCACUGCGCUGCGCUCCUUCUCUUCCUCGUUCUGCGAGUGUGUGUGUGCGUGUUUGUGGAUCGGCAGGU